AUUUCUCACUGUUCUGGAGGCUGAGGAGUCUGAGAUCCGGAUUCCAGCAUGGUCACGUUCUGGUGAGGCCAGACACAGGAUUACCUACAGUAACAGGAGCAACCAGAACAUGUUCCUGUUAAGUUCUCAUCUACAUGUGGAAGGAAGCAGUAGAGGGAUCAGCGUUUUUACAAGAUUCCUACUUUUGGCAGGAAGUGGAAGAUCCACAACGAGAUGGUCUAUUUUCCCCUGACUGCAGAAAUUCAAGAACCGAGACUUGAAAAAGUGGCACGCAAGGAGUGUCCUUGGUGGCUGUGGAUAUGCUCAGCACCUGACAUUUUUUCUGAACAGAGCCUGGGAGAGAAGGGACAUCACUGACGCCUGAUUCACAUAUGGAAAUGUAGGUCCUCUUGCACGGGCUCCUUUAGCCUCCACCGGAGUAUUUUCUGAGAAUGGGCCAGGCUGUGCCCUCUCCAUCUGCUUCCAUUUGUCCAGGAGACUCAGAUAAGUGGUGCUUAGAAGGUGGCAAAGCAGGCGAUUGAAGUUUGUCUUCAUUCUCCCGGUACCCAGGGCCCUCUGUGGUCCGCUAGUUUUCAACAGCAGGAGAGGGAAGGAUGUGAUCUUGGUCCUUUUGCAUUAGGAUAAAGGAGCUGCCCUCAAAACCAAAGAAUGGUAACGCUUCAUUCUUGACUCUAAACAGGAAAGAUCUUGCCCCUUUGGAAUAGAAUUUUAGGAAAAUAGAAACAGAGGGUACCUGGGUGGCUCAGUCUUUG